ACUCCUACGGGAGGCAGCAGUGGGGAAUAUUGCACAAUGGGGCGCAAGCCUGAUGCAGCAACGCCGUGUGAGUGAAGAAGGUUUUCGGAUCGUAAAACUCUGUCCUAAGGGAAGAAACAAAUGACGGUACCUUAGGAGGAAGCCCCGGCUAACUACGUGCCAGCAGCCGCGGUAAUACGUAGGGGGCAAGCGUUAUCCGGAAUCACUGGGCGUAAAGGGUGCGUAGGCGGCUUAGCAAGCCAGGGGUGAAAGGCAUUGGCUCAACCAAUGUAAGCCUUUGGAACUGUUAGGCUUGAGUGCAGGAGAGGUAAAGUGGAAUUCCUAGUGUAGAGGUGAAAUUCGGUAGAUAUUAGGAGGAACACCAGUGGCGAAGGCGACUUACUGGACUGUAACUGACGCUGAUGCACGAAAGCGUGGGUAGCGAACAGGAUUAGAUACCCUGGUAGCGACAGAG
rnacentral:rRNA from 1 species